rnacentral:tRNA from 1 species
GCCCCGGUAUCCCAAUCGGUAGAGGACGCGGAUUCAAAACCCGUUUAGUGUGGGUUCGAGUCCCACCCGGGGCACCU